GAUGAACGCUGGCGGCGUGCCUAAUACAUGCAAGUCGAGCGAACAGACGAGGAGCUUGCUCCUUUGACGUUAGCGGCGGACGGGUGUGUAACACGUGGAUAACCUACCUAUAAGUCUGGGAUAACUUCGGGACACCGGAGCUAAUACCGGAUAAUAUAUUGAACCGCAUGGUUCAAUAGUGAAAGACGGCUUUGCUGUCACUUAUAGCUGGAUCUGCGCCGCAUUAGCUAGUUGGUAGGGUAACGGCUUACCAGGGCGACGAUGCGUAGCCGAACUGAGAGGGUGGUCGGCCACACUGGAGCGGGAACGCGGUCCAGACGCCUGCGGGAGGCAGCAGUAGGGAAUCUUCGGCAAUGGGCGAAAGCCUGACGGAGCGACGCCGCGUGAGUGAUGAAGGUCUUCGGAUCGUAAAGCUCGGUUAUUAGGGAAGAACAAAUGUGUAAGUAACUAUACACGUCGUGACGGUACCUAAUCAGAAAGCCACGGCUAACUACGUG
rnacentral:rRNA from 1 species